UACAGAGGGUGCAAGCGUUGUUCGGAAUUAUUGGGCGUAAAGGGUGCGUAGGCGGUGCGGUAAGUCUCUUGUGAAAUCUCCGGGCUCAACCCGGAGCCUGCAAGGGAAACUGCCGUGCUUGAGUGUGGGAGAGGUGAGUGGAAUUCCUGGUGUAGCGGUGAAAUGCGUAGAUAUCAGGAGGAACACCUGUGGCGAAAGCGGCUCACUGGACCACAACUGACGCUGAUGCGCGAAAGCUAGGGGAGCAAACAGG
rnacentral:rRNA from 1 species